AGAGGGUGCAAGCGUUAAUCGGAAUUACUGGGCGUAAAGGGCGCGUAGGUGGAUUAAUAAGUUGGAUGUGAAAGACCCGGGCUUAACCUGGGGGUGAGAUCCGAUACUGUUAGUCAAGAGUGCAGUAGAGGGAAGUGGAAUUUCCGGUGUAGCGGUGAAAUGCGUAGAUAUCGGAAGGAACAUCAGUGGCGAAGGCGACUUUCUGGACUGAGACUGACACUGAGGCGCGAAAGCGUGGUUAGCGAACAGGGAUUAGAUACCCUGGUAGUCCACGCUGUAAACGAUGAAUACUAGCUGUUUGGAAUAAAGUUCUGAGUAGCGCAGCAAACGCGAUAAGUAUUCCGCCUGGGGAUACGGCCGCAAGGCUA
rnacentral:rRNA from 1 species